UUUGUUUUUUAAUUAAAAACUAGAAUGAAAGGUUAUACAUUCAAAUUUCUUUAUUAAUUUUUUAUAAAAUAAUUUAUAUUAAAUAUAAAAAUAUAUUUUUAAAUAAAAAAGACGACAAGACCCUAUUAAAUUUAACUUAUAGUUUAGCUGGGGAAGCUUUUUAAAUAAAAUUUUAUUAAAAUAUUUUAAAAUAAUUUUUUAAUUAAAAUUAAAACAAAUUACUAUAGGGAUAACAGCGUUAUAUUUUUUAAAAGUUCCUAUUUAAAAAAAUGAUUGCGACCUCGAUGUUGAAUUAUAUUUUCUAUAUUAAUGCAAUAAUUAUAAAAGUAGAUCUGUUCGAUCUUUAAAAUAUUACAUGAUUUGAGUUCAAACCGGUGUAAACCAGGUUGGUUUCUAUCUUUUUAUAUCUAUAUAUUUUUCAAGUACGAAAGGAAAAAAAAAUUUUUAUUUUAAUUAUUUAGCAAAUUAAAAUGCAUUAGAUUUAGAAUCUAAAUAAACUAAU
rnacentral:rRNA from 1 species